GGAAGGGGGAUAACAGAUAAUUUGCUGCAGUUUCUUUCCCUCUAACCGUAUGAGAGAGGGUGAAAUCUGAAUGAGAGAAUCUAACAAUUGCCAUGCUUAGAGAUGCCAGCUGAUGUACUUGGAAACUCUGAAAUGGUACCAUCAGUCCCUGACCCUUUCCCUCAAGCUAUGCUUUGGAUUUUCUGGACUUCAAAUCUCUAUUGAACUCUCAUCCUGAAACCUUCUUUAGUGCAUGGUGCCUCCUCACUCUGGAACAUCACUCUGCUAUGCUAAAACCCUUCUCCCUUUGGUGAAAUCUUCCAGAAGUCUCCAUUUUGGAGAGGG